GUCUACGGCCAUACUACCCUGAAUGUGCCCGAUCUCAUGUGAUCUCGGAAGCUAAGCAGGAUGGGGCCUGGUUAGUACUUGGAUGAGAGCCCACAUAGGAAGACCAGGUGCUGUAGGCG
ensembl:rRNA 5S_rRNA 5S ribosomal RNA